GCGGACAGAAUGUGCCUCAAUAGUUGGAAGCUCAAAUGAGCCCCAGCCGGGAACAUCUUCACAACAGCUAUGACCUUUGGGAACAUUUUGAUCUCGAAGUGGGGAGGCAGACCAAAAGUGCCACAGCUGAUGCCAUCCUUGAGGUGCAGAGAUACAUGGCAGAGGGCAAUAUUGCGAGGUCCCAGGAUCCUCUUGUA